UAGUGGCGAACGGGUGAGUAACACGUGGGCAAUCUGCCCUUCACUCUGGGACAAGCCCUGGAAACGGGGUCUAAUACCGGAUAAUACUUUCUCCUGCAUGGGAGAGGGUUGAAAGCUCCGGCGGUGAAGGAUGAGCCCGCGGCCUAUCAGCUUGUUGGUGGGGUGAUGGCCUACCAAGGCGACGACGGGUAGCCGGCCUGAGAGGGCGACCGGCCACACUGGGACUGAGACACGGCCCAGACUCCUACGGGAGGCAGCAGUGGGGAAUAUUGCACAAUGGGCGGAAGCCUGAUGCAGCGACGCCGCGUGAGGGAUGACGGCCUUCGGGUUGUAAACCUCUUUCAGCAGGGAAGAAGCGUGAGUGACGGUACCUGCAGAAGAAGCGCCGGCUAACUACGUGCCAGCAGCCGCGGUAAUACGUAGGGCGCAAGCGUUGUCCGGAAUUAUUGGGCGUAAAGAGCUCGUAGGCGGCUUGUCGCGUCGGAUGUGAAAGCCCGGGGCUUAACCCCGGGUCUGCAUUCGAUACGGGCAGGCUAGAGUGUGGUAGGGGAGAUCGGAAUUCCU
rnacentral:rRNA from 3 species